GGGCGUCUAGUGUAGUUGGUAAACACGCUGUGUGACUUUCAUUCCAGAGAGGCGGGAUCGAAACCCGCGGCGUCCA